UACGUAGGGGGCAAGCGUUGUCCGGAUUUAUUGGGCGUAAAGAGCGUGUAGGCGGCUUUACAGGUCCGUUGUGAAAUCUCGAGGCUCAACUUCGAGCUGUCGGUGGAAACUGUCUGGCUAGAGUCCGGAAGAGGAGAAUGGAAUUCCUGGUGUAGCGGUGAAAUGCGCAGAUAUCAGGAAGAACACCCGUGGCGAAGGCGGUUCUCUGGGACGGUACUGACGCUGAGACGCGAAAGCGUGGGGAGCGAACAGG
rnacentral:rRNA from 1 species